UGAGUUGAUCUUUCACUGGAUACAUUGGU
rnacentral:piRNA from 1 species